AGAGUUUGAUCCUGGCUCAGAUUGAACGCUGGCGGCAUGCCUAACACAUGCAAGUCGAACGGUAACAGGUCUUCGGAUGCUGACGAGUGGCGGACGGGUGAGUAACGCGUAGGAAUCUGUCUUUGAGUGGGGGACAACCCAGGGAAACUUGGGCUAAUACCGCAUAAGCCCUGAGGGGGAAAGCGGGGGAUCUUCGGACCUCGCGCUGGAAGAGGAGCCUACGUCUGAUUAGCUAGUUGGUAGGGUAAAGGCCUACCAAGGCGACGAUCGGUAGCUGGUCUGAGAGGACGACCAGCCACACUGGGACUGAGACACGGCCCAGACUCCUACGGGAGGCAGCAGUGGGGAAUUUUUCGCAAUGGGGGCAACCCUGACGAAGCAAUGCCGCGUGAAUGAAGAAGGCCUUCGGGUUGUAAAGUUCUUUCGUGGAGGACGAAAAGGUAGGUGCUAAUAUCGCCUGCUGUUGACGUGAAUCCAAGAAGAAGCACCGGCUAACUCCGUGCCAGCAGCCGCGGUAAUACGGGGGGUGCAAGCGUUAAUCGGAAUCACUGGGCGUAAAGGGUGCGUAGGCGGUGCAUUAGGUCUGUCGUGAAAUCCCCGGGCUCAACCUGGGAAUGGCGGUGGAAACCGGUGUACUAGAGUAUGGGAGAGGGUGGUGGAAUUCCAGGUGUAGCGGUGAAAUGCGUAGAGAUCUGGAGGAACAUCAGUGGCGAAGGCGGCCACCUGGCCCAAUACUGACGCUGAGGCACGAAAGCGUGGGGAGCAAACAGGNAUUAGAUACCCUGGUAGUCCACGCCCUAAACGAUGAAUACUAGAUGUUUGGUGCCAAGCGUACUGAGUGUCG
rnacentral:rRNA from 1 species